AUCCAAAAUGUUGAAUUGUGGGCACCACUGCAUCUAUAAGUUUAAUAUGUUAGAGAUUGGACACUUCAUAUAUUUUAGGUCUGUCAUGCCCUCUCACACACAGCAUGGUUCUUUUUCAUAGGUUAAGCAAGUAAAAAAAAAAAUUGAUGGAUGGGGAGACUUGAACCAAGGACCAUUUGCUUGUUUUAAUACUAUGUUGAACUGUG
rnacentral:misc_RNA from 1 species